AUUGAACGCUGGCGGCAGGCCUAACACAUGCAAGUCGAACGGUAGCACAGAGAGCUUGCUCUCGGGUGACGAGUGGCGGACGGGUGAGUAACGUCUGGGAAACUGCCCGAUGGAGGGGGAUAACUACUGGAAACGGUAGCUAAUACCGCAUAACGUCGCAAGACCAAAGUGGGGGACCUUCGGGCCUCACACCAUCGGAUGUGCCCAGAUGGGAUUAGCUAGUAGGUGGGGUAAUGGCUCACCUAGGCGACGAUCCCUAGCUGGUCUGAGAGGAUGACCAGCCGCACUGGAACUGAGACACGGUCCAGACUCCUACGGGAGGCAGCAGUGGGGAAUAUUGCACAAUGGGCGCAAGCCUGAUGCAGCCAUGCCGCGUGUAUGAAGAAGGCCUUCGGGUUGUAAAGUACUUUCAGCGGGGAGGAAGGCGGUGAAGUUAAUAGCUUCACCGAUUGACGUUACCCGCAGAAGAAGCACCGGCUAACUCCGUGCCAGCAGCCGCUGUAA
rnacentral:rRNA from 1 species